CGAAAGGAGAUGGUUUAUUGUGUGCCUCUAUAAUGGGUCUUUGACGCUCUCACCUUGAGCAUGCGUGGUCAUCACCUACCCUCUCGCCUUCCCCUGCUGAUCCAAUCACUUGCAUAUCCCAUUUAUUCCUCGUGUCUGAGGACAGGGCCCUGUGAUAAAGCUAGUGGGCGUGAAGUGCCCAUCUCUUAGGGGCCAAACAUAAAACCUGAUGGGUAUUUUAAAACAAUGCACU